rnacentral:rRNA from 1 species
CCUACGGGAGGCAGCAGGGGGGAAUAUUGCACAAUGGGCGCAAGCCUGAUGCAGCCAUGCCGCGUGUAUGAAGAAGGCCUUCGGGUUGUAAAGUACUUUCAGCAGUGAGGAAGGCGGAGUCGUUAAUAGCGGCCUCGUUGACGUUGCUGCAGAAGAAGCACCGGCUAACUCCGUGCCAGCAGCCGCGGUAAUACGGAGGGUGCGAGCGUUAAUCGGAAUUACUGGGCGUAAAGCGCAUGCAGGUGGUUUGUUAAGUCAGAUGUGAAAGCCCGGGGCUCAACCUCGGAAUUGCAUUUGAAACUGGCAGACUAGAGUACUGUAGAGGGGGGUAGAAUUUCAGGUGUAGCGGUGAAAUGCGUAGAGAUCUGAAGGAAUACCGGUGGCGAAGGCGGCCCCCUGGACAGAUACUGACACUCAGAUGCGAAAGCGUGGGGAGCAAACAGGAUUAGAUACCCUGGUAGUCCACGCCGUAAACGAUGUCUACUUGGAGGUUGUGGCCUUGAGCCGUGGCUUUCGGAGCUAACGCGUUAAGUAGACCGCCUGGGGAGUACGGUCGCAAGAUUAAAACUCAAC